rnacentral:lncRNA from 12 species
CUUCAUCAGAGAUUUGGAGAAUAAUGAAGGGAGCACUCUGCAAUGGCCACUCUGCAUUUUGUGCCGUGGAAAAGUACAGAAGUACUAAUGACUGAGGAUUCUGAUGGUGACCUCUACGGAUGCCUCCAACAGUGGAACGGUUCCUUGUCUAGACAAUGUGGUGAUACACCUGUCUACUGUGAGAAAAUAGUGACUCUGCAGAGUGAAAUUCCCACAAAAAUGGUCCUGGCACUACCACAUCUGGACAGUGAGGCAAUCAUCACAGCAGAGUCCUCCCAAUAUGAGGAAUUACAGCAGCAGUACAUGGACUUGCUGCAGAUAAAGAAUGAACUAGAAGAAAGCUGUAUAAAGAAAGAUAAGCUUCUCCGUGAUGUACAACAAGCCUUAGCAGAAGAGCAGGCCAAAAGAGAGGCAGCUGAGAAGGAAAAGCAGCUUCUUGAGGAAAGGUGUAAACAGCUGCAGAAAAGGGUAGAGCUUCUAGAAAAAUGUUUCAAGGAAUCUAUGAUCCAAAUGAAAGAGCAGAUAAAGAGAGAAAGAGAAGUCCUUCUGAAAGAGCAGAAUAAGAGGAUUGAGAGGCUUGAGAUACCUGUGCACAGUAUUUGGACUUCUUCAAGCAACCUCUCUUACAGACCCUCACUUUUAUUUUGCAGACUGGUUUCUCCUUGAAAUCUUAGAGUUCCCAAAUCCCCCAAACUGGGCAGGGUGCCCCUUCUUUGUGCUUUCAUUGUACCUAUAGCAUGAUUUUGAAAAUGUGAAUUAUCCAAUUACUCUGUCUUGCUGAUGAUGCCUUGCCACCAGAGACUAGUUUAUCUUUAUCAUUGUCUUCUUAGCUUCUAUUUCCAUGUCCAGCACUUGAUUAGUACCUGGAAAAUGUUAGUUGAAUAAAGUUCCCCACUUUCUAUAUCCUCA